rnacentral:lncRNA from 1 species
AUGGUUGGCGCAUACUCUGGUGUGAAGGUGGGACUCCGCGAAGACGUCGCACAGUACCUGGAAUUGUGUAUUGUGCACAACCUUGUGCUGAGACAACGGAAAACCGCCAUCUUAUUGCUCACUCAAUGCCUCCAUAACACCAAUUUUUCACUCCCGGGCUUUGCAGCAGCCCGGUGUACUUUCCAUAAUACGCCUAUUACACAGGCAUCCUCACUAGCCAUCGCUUACACAAUUACCCGUGUGAUUUUCUCCAUCCCGGCGUGGUUGCCAUCGUCUUCGGUCCCCACCCAGUAUAACUUCGGGCGCCUGCAUCACGGGUGCCCUAAAAAAAUAGGAGACGCGUUCCCCUCCUCCCAGGUUUCUGGUUUCUCCACCCAGUCUCCCCACCGUCCUCCACUCCUCGCACCCCAGCCCUUCCGGCCUCCACCCAGACCGGGGAGAAGCGGGCCUGACAUUCCAGCGUGCACUUUGAUCGUGACCCCUGAACAGGCACGGCCAGCCCUGGGGUUUUCUGGCGUUAACCGAAGCUGCAGGCAAAAGCAGCGCGAUCUCCGGGAGGAGAGCCCGAACAGGCUGUACGGGAGCCGCAGCACAAGUCUGGACGCAGAGGCUGCGCGCGGGAGCAGGGCUGGCCGCCCUGGCAGGAGCCCGAGCUGCAGGCCUCGGCUGGGAAGUGGGUCCCUCCGUCAUUUCCCCUGCCUCCACGGUCCCCAGCUUGCCUUUGACAGCUCUCUUCUUUGA